GACGAACGCUGGCGGCGUGCCUAAUACAUGCAAGUAGAACGCACAGUUUAUACCGUAGCUUGCUACACCAUAGACUGUGAGUUGCGAACGGGUGAGUAACGCGUAGGUAACCUGCCUGGUAGCGGGUGAUAACUAUUGGAAACGAUAGCUAAUACCGCAUAAUAUUAAUUAUUGCAUGAUAAUUAAUUGAAAGGUGCAAUUGCACCACUACCAGAUGGACCUGCGUUGUAUUAGCUAGUAGGUGAGGUAACGGCUCACCUAGGCGACGAUACAUAGCCGACCUGAGAGGGUGAUCGGCCACACUGGGACCGAGACACGGCCCAGACUCCUACGGGAGGCAGCAGUAGGGAAUCUUCGGCAAUGGACGAAAGUCUGACCGAGCAACGCCGCGUGAGUGAAGAAGGUUUUCGGAUCGUAAAGCUCUGUUGUAAGAGAAGAACGGGUGUGAGAGUGGAAAGUUCACACUGUGACGGUAUCUUACCAGAAAGGGACGGCUAACUACGUG
rnacentral:rRNA from 1 species